rnacentral:rRNA from 1 species
GAUAAACGCUGGCGGCGCACAUAAGACAUGCAAGUCGAACGGACUUAACCGAAAUGUUUACAUUUUGGAGCGGUUAGUGGCGGACUGGUGAGUAACACGUAAGCAACCUGCCUAUCAGAGAGGAAUAACAGUGAGAAAUCAUUGCUAAUACCGCAUAUGCUGUGAGUAUCGCAUGAUACAAACAGGAAAGGAGCAAUCCGCUGAUAGAUGGGCUUGCGUCUGAUUAGAUAGUUGGUAAGGUAAUGGCUUACCAAGGCAACGAUCAGUAGCCGGGCUGAGAGGCUCUGCGGCCACAUUGGGACUGAGAUACGGCCCAG